CUCUCAAGUACCGGCCACGAGGUUCAAUUUCUCGGUCAGUACAAUAUUAUCGAUGUAUUUACAAGUUCAUAGAGCUAAGAAUUUUUCCCGGCGUUCUACUGACAUUAUCUAAAGUAUCUAGACUCACUAGUACUAUAAUAACUGAACUCGUCGUCGCUACUACUCUGACAAGUCCUCCUAGUAUAACGUUGAGUCGUGGCCCGCCGCAGCGAACUAUCCGUCUGAUACGUACAGCAUCGACCACUUCCUUAGGUUCUACACGUCCGACGCGAACAACGUCGAUCACUUCCUUCCGUUCUACACGUCCGACACAAACGACGUCGAUCACUUCCUUCUGUUCUCCGACGACUAACGCCUGUACGAAACCUUCGGUGGUGUAGCAGGAACCAAUGCCUUUUUCUUGGAGAACAACGUCGAUCACUUCCUUCGGUUCUACACGUUCGACACGAACAACGUCGAGCACUUCCUUCGGUUCUACACGUCCGACGCAAACAACGUCGAUCACUUCCUUCGGUUCUACACUUCCAACACGAACAACAUCGAUGACCUCCUUCAGUUCUUCAAAGACUGAGACCUUUACCAAACCUUCGAUGUCGUAACAGAAACCAAUGACUUUUUCGUGGAGAACUAUACCGACUUAGCGUGUUGACAGGAGCGAGAGGGUGUAGUCGCGGCAAGGGGUCGGGCUGAAGAUGGCAAGACUUCCGAGGCUGGAAACUUCCACCGCUACGUUUCGACCAUUCUCCUUUUCACUUCGCAGGGUCCUUCUUGAUGGUGUGGCCAUGAGGAUCCUGUUCAGGAUCCAAACUUGACUUCGGACUUACAGCCUUGCCCGGAGAUCUUCUCGACGGUCGGCUCCGUGACUGGAGACUUCCACCGCUGUGCCUCGACCACUCUCUCUUCUACGUUGUAGGACCCUUCCUAAUGGUAAGGCCGUGAGGACCCUGUUCAGGAUCCAAACUUGGCUUCGCACUUACAGUAUUGCCCGGACACUUUCUCGACGGUCGGCUCCGAGACUGUAGACUUCCACCGUUGCGUUUCGACAACUCUCCCUUCCAGUUCGUAGGAGCCUACUUGAUGGUAUGGUCGUGAGGAUCCUAUUCAGGAUCCAAACAUGGCUUCGAACUUACGGUAUUGUCCGGACACCUUCUCGACGGUCGGUUCCGAGACUGGAGACUUCCUCCGUUACUUCUCGACCACUCUCCCUUCGACUUUGUAGGAUCCUUCUUGAUGGGACGACCGUGAGGAUCCUGUUCAGGAUCCAAACUUGGUUUCGCACUUACAGUAUUGCCCAGACACCUUCUUUACGGUCGGUUCCAAGACUGGAGAUUUCCACCACUACGACUCGACCACUCUCCCCUUCACUUUGAAAGAUCCUUCUUGAUGGUAUGGCCGUGAGGAGCCUGUUCAGGAUCCAAACUUUGUUUCGCACCUACAGCAUUGCCCAGGCACCUUCUCGACGGUCGACUCCAAGACUGGAGACUACCACGACUACGUCUCGACCAAUCCCUCUUCCACUUUGUACGAUCCUUCCUAAUGGUAUGACCGUGAGGAUCCUGUUCAGGAUCCAAAGUUGACUUCGCACUUGCAGUGUUCCCCGGGCACCUUCUUGACCGUCGGCUAGUGUUCUCCAAGGCGUGUGAUCUUCUUAAUUAACGGAGAGGACUGUUACGUCUUAGACGCUUCUGGGGCAGAUGACUGAGAGACUUGAUUCUCUACUUAAAUCCUGACUUCCGACUUGUUGUAGUCAUCAUGAACUUCUUACGACAAGGAACCCUCAACUCUUUGUUGUAGUCCGACGUUCGACUCUACAUUCACGCGUAAUUAGUACAUUGGUUGGUCGUUAUCCAACUUUCAACACUCGUUGACGUCGCACUUUAAACACCUUUUUGAGACAAAAAAUACACCACCAACCUUGAUAUAAAUCAACACAAGUGUUCCCUUAAAAUGUUGACACUUCCAACUUGUUGAGGCAGUCAAUCACGAUGAACAAACUUGAUAAAAAAACCGCUCCCAUGAAUGAACUUCAAGACUGGGAGAA
rnacentral:rRNA from 1 species